UGUCAUUCUAAUAGUACUAAUUACCUGUUGCAUGUUGAUAUUUAACGGGAGCUCUGUCUACCCUAAGUGGUGAUUAUUAGUGAGAACUCAAACCCUAAAUCCCCUCAGGCGACUGCCCCAUGACAUCACAUGGUAUGCGAAUUACUUUUCAAAGCGUCGUUUGACAGGCAAGAACUUUCGAAAUAGGAAGUGCGAUCAUCGCUUUCUGUAUUUUGGUUCCACGUUGAAAGUUUCAGGGCUAAUAUCUUAAUCUUUUGGAUGUAAAAAGGAACCUGGGAACAAGACAGACCAUUACUGAGAUAUGUAAACUCCUAGACAGACCAUUACUGAGAUAUGUAAACUCCUAGACAGACCAUUACUGAGAUAUGUAAACUCCUAGACAGACCAUUACUGAGAUAUGAAAACUCCUAGACAGACCAUUACUGAGAUAUGUAAACUCCUAGACAGACCAUUACUGAGAUAUGUAAACUCCUAGACAGACCAUUACUGAGAUAUGUAAACUCCUAGACAGACCAUUACUGAGAUAUGAAAACUCCUAGACAGACCAUUACUGAGAUAUGAAAACUCCUAGACAGACCAUUACUGAGAUAUGAAAACUCCUAGACAGACCAUUACUGAGAUAUGUAAACUCCUAGACAGACCAUUACUGAGAUAUGAAAACUCCUAGACAGACCAUUACUGAGAUAUGAAAACUCCUAGACAGACCAUUACUGAGAUAUGUAAACUCCUAGACAGACCAUUACUGAGAUAUGAAAACUCCUAGACAGACCAUUACUGAGAUAUGUAAACCCCUAGACAGACCAUUACUGAGAUAUGUAAACUCCUAGACAGACCAUUACUGAGAUAUGAAAACUCCUAGACAGACCAUUACUGAGAUAUGAAAACUCCUAGACAGACCAUUACUGAGAUAUGAAAACUCCUAGACAGACCAUUACUGAGAUAUGAAAACUCCUAGACAGACCAUUACUGAGAUAUGAAAACUCCUAGACAGACCAUUACUGAGAUAUGUAAACCCCUAGACAGACCAUUACUGAGAUAUGUAAACCCCUAGACAGACCAUUACUGAGAUAUGUAAACCCCUAGACAGACCAUUACUGAGAUAUGUAAACCCCUAGACAGACCAUUACUGAGAUAUGUAAACUCCUAGACAGACCAUUACUGAGAUAUGUAAACUCCUAGACAGACCAUUACUGAGAUAUGUAAACUCCUAGACAGACCAUUUACUGAGAUAUGUAAACUCCUAGACAGACCAUUACUGAGAUAUGUAAACCCCUAGACAGACCAUUACUGAGAUAUGAAAACUCCUAGACAGACCAUUACUGAGAUAUGAAAACUCCUAGACAGACCAUUACUGAGAUAUGUAAACUCCUAGACAGACCAUUACUGAGAUAUGAAAACUCCUAGACAGACCAUUACUGAGAUAUGAAAACUUCUAGACAGACCAUUACUGAGAUAUGAAAACUCCUAGACAGACCAUUACCGAGAUAUGAAAACUCCUAGACAGACCAUUACUGAGAUAUGUAAACUCCUAGACAGACCAUUACUGAGAUAUGAAAACUCCUAGACAGACCAUUACUGAGAUAUGUAAACUCCUAGACAGACCAUUUACUGAGAUAUGAAAACUCUUAGACAGACCAUUACUGAGAUAUGAAAACUCUUAGACAGACCAUUACUGAGAUAUGAAAACUCCUAGACAGACCAUUUACUGAGAUAUGAAAACUCCUAGACAGACCAUUUACUGAGAUAUGAAAACUCCUAGACAGACCAUUUACUGAGAUAUGAAAACUCCUAGACAGACCAUUUACUGAGAUAUGAAAACUCUUAGACAGACCAUUACUGAGAUAUGAAAACUCUUAGACAGUCUCUGUGGCCUCAUCACUACUGACUUGUGGUGCCUGGUCUCGUCGCUCACCAUGACCCAAACCGGCCAGGCCGAGGAGUGAGACAGCCAUGUCUGAUUCUACCUUGUUCAGAGCCACCAGAAUACUCUGCAGAAGUAUAUCUAGUGACAUGGAGGAGUCUGAGGCCAAGAGCAGAGGAGGAGCUGUCCCCAUGAGGAAGAGUUCAGACAGGAGGGGUUCUGACUGGGGAAGCAUCGCCAUGCUGGAUAAGACCAAGGAAUUCUUCCAGACCUGCGAUGUGGAGGGCAAAGGCUUCAUCACACGCACCGAUAUGAGGAGGCUUCACAGAGAACUACCCCUCACUGCUGAAGAACUGGAUAAUGUCUUUGACUCCCUGAACACUGACCAGAACGGCUACCUCACCCUCGAAGUGUUCUCAUCAGGAUUCAGUCAGUUCCUGCACAGCCGGAGGAUCUCUGUAGCCGAGGACGCAGCACCCGCCCUCCCCACUUCUAGGAAGCCCUCAGAAGCCCUGUACCAGAGCCAAUGGGAUGAGAGGUUGACUGGAGGGUGGGAGGAUGAGGAGGAGAGUCACUUCUGUAUGCUGCUGGAGAGCCUAGGGGCCAGCAACGUGUUCCAGGAUCCAGGCGAGGUGCGCAGCUUGUGGGCCCAGCUGAGGAGGGACGAGCCUCACCUCCUGUCGAACUUUGAGGAAUUCCUGGCCAGAGUCACCUUCCAGAUCAAAGAGGCCAAAGAGGAGAGGAGGGAGAUGGAGAGCGCCCUCCAGAGGAAAGCAGCCACACACGACAGUGAGAUCCGCGGUCUGUAUGAAGAAAUGGAGCAACAAAUGAAAAGUGAGAAGGACCGGCUGCUCCUCCAGGACUCGGAGCGCCUCCAGUCUCGUAGUCACAACCUGGAGCACCAGCUGUCCAGUAAGGAGAGAGAGCUGGAGCAGCUCUUCCAGAAACAGAGGAGGUUGGAUCUCCAGUGUCGCGACCUGAGCAGUGAGCAGCAGGAAAGCCGGGUGGAGAAUGUCAAGCUGAAGAUGACCAACGAGGAACUGAGCAGAGAGCUGGAGAGCACCUGUCAGGAACUGUCCUUGGCCCAGGAACAACUGACCAUGCUGCAGGACCAGGCUUCCCGCCUGCACCAGGAGAGAGAGAUGGAAAUGUACCGAGUCACUGAGGGACUACAGAGAGAGAAACAGAGCCUGAUGAAACAACUAGACCUUCUCAGAGAGAUGAACAAACAUUUAAAAGAUGAGCGAGACAUAUACUGUGCCGAGAACCCCAGGAAGUCCCUCAAACAGAAGCAGAGAGCCGGCUUGGUAAAUCUGUUCGCGGACACCAGCCAGCAGCCGGUUAAAAGCGAGGACGAUGUUGACACCGCUUGUACACCACGUUCGCCGAAAACCAACUACGGCCUGGCCAACGGCUACCACGACUCCAACACCUCGUCUCCAACCCAAGUGGUUGAGGUGGAGGCGCAGGGGGUGAGGGUGAAGGAGAGGCUCUCCAAGUUCGAGUUAGAGAAGACCCUCGCCCCCACCCAGAACGAAAGGGACAGGCAUACAGAGUACCAGAGUAAGCCGGAGGUUGGGGGCGAUGGGCUGGACGGUCCCCCAGAUGGGUGGCCUCUUCGUCGGGUUAUCUCCAUCGAGGAGGACCACCUCCCCCACCUGCUUCAUGGAGGGCCCCAGCCCCUGCUGCACCAGCUCAGUGAGGAAGACGAGGAGGAGGAAGAGGAGCAAGGGAAGGAAGAUCUGGAGAGAAGUAUCUUCUUCGCCCCUGUUCCUCUACCUGUCCCGGUCACGACAGUGUCCCCCUUCAAACACCGAGGUAGUUUCAGCAGAAUCAGAAAUAUCCCCUCGUCACCUCGAGGGCAGCCCGUCGGCAAGGAGACCCAAAAUAGGGUGAAGGAGAGGGCCGUGCCUGCCCCAGACCGCCUGUUUAAGGUGGUUCUGGUGGGCAACUCCAGUGUGGGCAAGACUUCCCUGCUGCGCACCUUCUGUGACGGCCGCUUCCACCCCUCCAGCCCCGCUACUGUGGGGAUUGACUACAGUGUGAAGACUCUAAUGUUGGACAACACCCAGGUAGCCAUGCAGCUGUGGGACACGGCCGGGCAGGAGAGGUACCGCAGCAUCACCAAGCAGUUCUUCCGUAAGGCAGACGGCGUGGUGGUCAUGUACGACAUCACGUUGCUGGACAGCUUCAAGGCCGUGCGACCCUGGCUCAUCAACGUCCAGGAGGCUGCGGGAGUGGGCAUUCCCAUCCUGCUCCUGGGCAACAAGAUGGACGCGACAUCCGAGAGGGAGGUACCACUUAAAGAUGCAGAGACUCUGGCCCACGACACCCGUGUGAUAUUCUAUGAGGUCAGUGCUUACACCGGCUACAACGUGACAGAGGCCAUGAUCCACCUGGCCAGGUAAGGGAGGGAGAGGGACAGCCCCUAGGUAUCCAGAUCUGAAUGAAUUGGACAGAGUGCUGAAAGAGCAGGAGGAUCGGGUGAGAGACACGUUUGUCUUACUGGAGGUCCUGCCCGUCAAGAAGAAAGCCUGCUGCAAGUGAAGACACUCUGACAGAAUAGAGAGAGAGCAUUUUGAAUGGCUAGAGACUCCUGAUAACAAGUGAAGGAACUCUUCAAUCUAACUCUUUCUCUGUGCUCUCGGAGCCAAAUCCUAACUUUGUGGACAUUUGUUAAUCAAUGUCUCAAAUUAGGAUGGCUCUUCUUUCAGUACCUGUUUUAUUAAAGGCAAAGAGCCCAGUUGAGCUGGAUCCUAGUGGAUUUAGCUCUAGUCUACAUUACAACCCUUUUUCUGUUGUUAUUUGGACCUCCUGACUGUUAUGAGCAAUAGACAUGUGUUCUACUGUAGAACUAAUGGUAUAUUUGGUUAAUUUAAAAAGUGGAUCAAUCAUUUCAAUGUAUAGAAUGAUUGUUUUUCUUUAGUUGUGAUUAUGUUGUUAAUCACAACACAGAGUGGAUAUGUAAACAAGAAAUAAGAGAUAUGUAAAUAAGAGCUUGAUUAAGUUGGUAGUUCGUUACAAAAUAAUGAUUGUCAUAAAUUUGAUUAAAAUACCGAUGUGAAAUCUAA